rnacentral:lncRNA from 1 species
CCCAAGAAGCCCCUGCUGCCCAAAAGGAGGCUUUCCACGGUGACGCUUCCUAUGCUGAAACUAGAGGACGGACAGGGAGAGCAAGCUGCAGGAGACAAGCCCCCUGAGAGGUGAGAGAGAUGGAGAGACGUAGCGGGUACUGGUGUGCCCUGGUCAUGGUGGCAGGGAGAUGUUUGUGUCAGCCACACUGCUGGGCAAAGGGCAUGGAAGUUUUCCUGCAGGAGAUAACUGGCAGUUCUGCUUUUCUCCCUAUGUCCCCGUCUCCUUUCACACAGUCCCUGCAACCCUAAGCACAGCAGCGUGACCACUUUCAGGUGCUUAAGCAGUGUGAUGUCUUUCAAGUCACUGUCAGCUGGGGCCUUUGCACAAGACCAUCAUCUCAGAUGAUGCUGUCUUUCUCUUUGUCCCACUCAGAGAGGGCUUAGUCUUGAGCACCUCUUUCUCUGUCUUUGAGAACACAAAUCGUUGGCUAUACAGCUCUGCUGAACAACCACCUUCUACUGCAGAGGAACGGGCUCACAAAGUAGAUGCAAGUGUAUUUGGUGGAGUCCCAACACUACCCGCUUUGUAUUUUUAGUGUGCCACCAGCCAUUGAGAAGGACUAUUCAAAGAAGGGCAUGAAAAAAAUGACGCACCACGUCAGGAGGAAAACUGAAAUCCCUGCCUGCAAAGGCCAUCAGAGAGUAGGACAGGAGGUCUGCUACCUGUGCAUGCAGCAAGAGGAACGAAGUCUGCGGGCAGCCCUGCUGAAGCAGAAGGAAGAGCAAGAAAGGGCUGAGUGGGCAGAACUGCAGGCCUGGCAGGCCAGGAUGGCAGCGCUGCGCGCCCAGAGAGCACGUGCUGCAUGGAAGCUGGAGGUUGCUAAAACAGCCAAAAAGGAAAACAGAGAAUACGAUUACCUGGUAAGAAGUUUAUAAAAAAGAAAAUGAGGUCCCCAGCAGAUGACUGCUGUGUCUCAGCUGUGCCACUUGGGAAGCGCAGCGAGCCCCUGCUCUGACCUU